rnacentral:rRNA from 1 species
GCAUAUAUAAAAAUUAAAUUCAAAUUAAUUAAUUUAUUAAUUUUACUUUUAAAUCCUAAAAAUUUAAUUUUUUUUUAAAAAAAAAUUUUUAAAUGCAACUCAUUUUAAUCUUUAAAAUACUACAUAUUGAUCUGAAAUAAUUUUUAAUAAAAUAUUUUAAAUAAAAUAAUUUUAUUUAUUUUUUUAACGAACAUACAUAAAUUAAUAUUUAAAGUUUAAUUUAACGUGGAUUAUCAAUUAUUAAACAAGUUUCCCUAAAUAAAUUUAUAUACUACCAUAUUUAAAUAUUUCAUUAAUUUAAUAAAAUAUUAAUAAAUUUAAUUUUAAUACUAGGGUAUCUAAUCCUAG